rnacentral:rRNA from 1 species
UACGUAGGUCCCGAGCGUUGUCCGGAUUUAUUGGGUGUAAAGCGAGCGCAGGUGGUUUAUUAAGUCUGGUGUAAAAGGCAGUGGCUCAACCAUUGUAUGCAUUGGAAACUGGUAGACUUGAGUGCGGGAGAGGAGAGCGGAAUUCCAUGUGUAGCGGUGAAAUGCGUAGAUAUAUGGAGGAACACCGGUGGCGAAAGCGGCUCUCUGGCCUGUAACUGACACUGAGGCACGAAAGCGUGGGGAGCAAACAGG